CGCAGGAUAGAGCAGUUGGCAGCUCGUCGGGCUCAUAACCCGGAGGUCCCAGGUUCGAGUCCUGGUCCUGCUA
rnacentral:tRNA from 1 species